GCAAUGCCGCGUGAGUGAAGAAGGCCUUCGGGUUGUAAAGCUCUUUUGUCAGGGAAGAAAAGGUAGCCUCUAAUACAGACUGCUCAUGACGGUACCUGAAGAAUAAGCACCGGCUAACUACGUGCCAGCAGCCGCGGUAAUACGUAGGGUGCAAGCGUUAAUCGGAAUUACUGGGCGUAAAGCGUGCGCAGGCGGUUAUAUAAGUCAGAUGUGAAAUCCCUGGGCUCAACCUAGGAACUGCAUUUGAGACUGUAUGGCUAGAGUGUGUCAGAGGGGGGUAGAAUUCCACGUGUAGCAGUGAAAUGCGUAGAUAUGUGGAGGAAUACCGAUGGCGAAGGCAGCCCCCUGGGAUAACACUGACGCUCAUGCACGAAAGCGUGGGGAGCAAACAGGAUUAAAUACCCUGGUAGUCCACGCCCUAAACGAUGUCUACUAGUUGUUGGGUCUUAAUUGACUUANUAACGCAGCUAACGCGUGAAGUAGACCGCCUGGGGAGUACGGUCGCAAGAUUAAAACUCAAAGGAAUUGACGGGGACCCGCACA
rnacentral:rRNA from 1 species